rnacentral:rRNA from 1 species
CCUGGUUGAUCCUGCCAGUAGUCAUAUGCCUGUCUCAAAGAUUAAGCCAUGCAUGUCUAAGUAUGAACUAAUUCAAACUGUGAAACUGCAGAUGGCUCAUUAAAUCAGUUAUCCUUUUUUUGAUGGUACCCUACUACUCAGAUAACUAUAGUAAUUCUAGAGCUAAUACGUGCACCAAGUCCCGACUCUUUGGAAGUGAUGAAUUUUUUAGAUAAAAGGCUAGCGUGGGCUUGACUGCUUCUCCAGUGAAUAAUGAUAACUUGACAGAUCGCAUAGCCCUUGUGUUGGCGAUGCUUAAUUCAAAUUUUUGCCCUAUCAAAUUUCAAUGGUAGGAUAGAGGCCUAACAUGGUGGUGACGAAUGAUGGAGAAUUAGGGUUCAAUUCUAGAGAGGAAUACUGAGAAAUGGUUACCACAUCCAAGGAAGGCAGCAGGCGUGCAAAUGACCCAAUCCUGACAUGGGGAGGUAGUGACAAUAAAUAACAAUACUAGGCCAUCGAGUUUGGUAAUUGAAAUGAGUACAAUCUAAAUCCCUUAACGAGGAUCCAUUGGAGGGCAAGUCUAGUGCCAGCAACUGUGGUAAUUCCAGCUCCAAUAGUGUAUAUUUAAGUUGUUUUAGUUAAAAAUCUCAUACUUGGAUCUUGGGUGGUAAAGGUGGGUGCGCUUACUUGGUGCGCACUUGCCCUUCCAUCCCUUUUGUUAGCAGCGUGCUCCUCACCUUUAUUGGUUGGGUCGCAGCUCCAGCGUCGUUACUUUGAAAAUAUUAGAGUGCUUGAAGAAAGCUUAUGCUCUGAAUACAUUAGCAUGGAAUAACAUGAUAGGAGUCUAGUCCUAUUGUGUUGGCCUUCGGGACCGGAGUAAUGAUUAAUAGGGACUAUCGGGGGCAUUCAUAUUUCAUUGUCAAAUGUGAUAUUCUUGGACUUAUCAAAGACAUACCUCUGUGAAAGAUUUUUCCAAGGAUGUUUUCAUUAAUCAAGAAUGAAAUUUGGGGGCUCAAAGACGAUUAGAUACCAUCCUAGUCUCAACCAUAAACGACUCCGACCAAGGAUCGAUAGAUGUUGCUCUAAGGACUAUGCCAACACCUUCUAAGAAAUUAGAGUGUUUGGGUUCUGAGGGGAUUAUGGUCCCAAGGCUAAAAUUAAAGGAAUUGAUGGAAGAGCACCACCAGGAGUGGAGCCCGUGGCUUAAUUUGAGUCAACACAGGGAAACUUACUAGGUCCAGACAUAGUAAGGAUUGACAAAUUGAGAGCUCUUUCUUGAUUCUAUGGUGAAGGCACGGGGUUGGGGCAACAUCUUCUCUAUUUGAGCCUCCCAUUGUGAGCCGGUAGCCACGUUUGAUAUCUCUUUCUUUGAUGUUGUUUUAUUCCAUUCUUCCUUUUGGCCCCUAGCUUUAUGGAGAAAAGGUGGGAUUGUUGUGGAUUGGUGUUCGGGAAGUAUGAAAUGCAGUGCGAUAUCCCGAGGUGGCCGCCCUAGUCCUUCUCGAUCACCAUCCCUUAUAGUUCCCAACUUUUUGCGAAGGCACGGGGUUGGGGAAGCGUGUUCUCUAUUUCAGCCUCCCCUUAUGAGCUGGUAGACAUAUUUGAUAUCUCUUUCUUUGAUGUUGUUUUCUUCCCUUCUUCCUUUUGGACCCUAGAUUUAAGGAGAAUCAAUGCGAUUGUUGUGGAUUCGUGUUCAGGAAAGACGAAACACAGUGCACACUCUCGGGGUGGCCACCCUAGUCCUUCUCUAUUAUGAAACCAACUCACA